GAUGAACGCUGGCGGCGUGCCUAAUACAUGCAAGUCGAGCGAACGGACGAGAAGCUUGCUUCUCUGAUGUUAGCGGCGGACGGGUGAGUAACACGUGGAUAACCUACCUAUAAGACUGGGAUAACUUCGGGAAACCGGAGCUAAUACCGGAUAAUAUUUUGAACCGCAUGGUUCAAAAGUGAAAGACGGUCUUGCUGUCACUUAUAGAUGGAUCCGCGCUGCAUUAGCUAGUUGGUAAGGUAACGGCUUACCAAGGCAACGAUGCAUAGCCGACCUGAGAGGGUGAUCGGCCACACUGGAACUGAGACACGGUCCAGACUCCUACGGGAGGCAGCAGUAGGGAAUCUUCCGCAAUGGGCGAAAGAAUGACGGAGCAACGCCGCGUGAGUGAUGAAGGUCUUCGGAUCGUAAGACUCUGUUAUUAGGGAAGAACAUAUGUGUAAGUAACUGUGCACAUCUUGACGGUACCUAAUCAGAAAGCCACGGCUAAAUAAGUGC
rnacentral:rRNA from 1 species